GGCGAGGUGCGGCAUAAGCUUUAUAUCAAUUACUUGAAGCUACACAGACCCUCUGUAAGUGAUGACGAUCGGCCAUUGCAUCAGCGGAUUGCGAGUGCUACGUACGAGUAUGAGAUGUAACGCCAAUUACAUGAUCAUCCGAAGUAAAAGGAACUAUCUGAAUGUGCAUGUACAGAAGAAGAAUCGGAAUGUGCUUAGGCUUAAAGGCUAAAGCGCUUACGCUUCUAUAAGCGAACUGUAAUACCAUAGCUCAUAUGAGAAAAUGUCGUCAAGGAACGGGACGAGUCACGGCUCCCUAACCGGAAGAAUAACGCUCUUACACGGAUGGAAAGUAACUGGUUUAAGGACGGGGUAAUAGACACCAGCAUGAUGACUGAUCCAAGAGGACGUUACGGACUGAACCAAAGACAGAUUUUACAGAAAUUAUACAUAUCGGUUAACUUCAUUAAACAUUAUUGUGUGAGAUCAUGAAGAGCGAAACAACCAGAAAGAGACCCCCACUGAGGAAAUCGCAGUCAAUAUACCUGGGAGACGAACUUACAACAAACAAGGCUAUCGAAGAAACUUUGGAUCCCGGCCGUGGCCGAGUUUAGUCGGUGCAAAGCAAUAACGACGAGGGAGGUUAUCAGGAACGAAAAAAGUCCUGGAGAGGCCUACUUGGCGAGGUAGAACAACAUCUAUGGGAACGCCCCUAGAAAAUUGUAAGGGGCAAAGUGAAAGGCAAACGCAGAAAACCUGUGCAAAAAAAAGAGACGAAAUUCGAGAAAAAAUUUUCGAUUUACUCUGAAUUCAACGAA